rnacentral:rRNA from 1 species
UACGUAGGGUGCGAGCGUUGUCCGGAAUUAUUGGGCGUAAAGAGCUCGUAGGCGGUCUGUCGCGUCGAUCGUGAAAACUUGGGGCUUAACCCUGAGCUUGCGGUCGAUACGGGCAUGACUGGAGUUCGGCAGGGGAGACUGGAAUUCCUGGUGUAGCGGUGAAAUGCGCAGAUAUCGGGAGGAACACCGGUGGCGAAGGCGGUUCUCUGGGCCUGUACUGACGCUGAGGAGCGAAAGCGUGGGGAGCGAACAGG